UGGUAUUUAGUUUAAACUAAAAUAAGUGAUUUCGACUCACUAGACUGUGACCCAAAAAUCACAAAUACCAA